rnacentral:rRNA from 1 species
UACGUAGGGGGCAAGCGUUGUCCGGAUUUAUUGGGCGUAAAGAGCGUGUAGGCGGCCUUACAGGUCAGCUGUGAAAACUCGAGGCUCAACCUCGAGACGUCGGUUGAAACCGUAUGGCUAGAGUCCGGAAGAGGAGAGUGGAAUUCCCGGUGUAGCGGUGAAAUGCGCAGAUAUCAGGAGGAACACCUAUAGCGAAGGCAGCUCGCUGGGACGGUACUGACGCUGAGGCGCGAAAGCGUGGGGAGCGAACAGG